UACGAAGGGGGCUAGCGUUGUUCGGAAUUACUGGGCGUAAAGGGCGCGUAGGCGGCUUAUCAAGUCAGGCGUGAAAUUCCCGGGCUCAACCUGGGGGCUGCGCUUGAUACUGAUGAGCUUGAAUGCGGGAGAGGAUAGUGGAAUUCCCAGUGUAGAGGUGAAAUUCGUAGAUAGUUGGGAAGAACACCGGGUGGCGAAGGCGGCUAUCUGGCCCGUAAUUGACGCUGAGGCGCGAAAGCGUGGGGAGCAAACAGG
rnacentral:rRNA from 1 species